ensembl:lncRNA
UUAUUAGGAGACAUCCUGGGGAUUUUAAAAUGGUAUUGUGUUUGAAAUUAAUGUUUUGGCUACAAAUCGCAAUAUGUCACAGAAGUCUUAAAUGCAAAAAAUGUCCCACAAUAGGGCAUUUCACCCUACCAAAAUAAAAUGAAAUGUACAUUACCAAAUUCCUGUACUUAGCUUUUUUAUUGUUUAAAAGCUUUGUUUUUUACAAAUCACAGAAAUUUUGUUACAUGUUUUUAAAAUGUAGGAAACGUUAUUAUUUAUUAAUCGAUGUCGGAACUCGUUUUUUCUCAAUUAUGGAUUGGGUAAACUCUGGUCCACACUCCAAUACAGCAGGUGGCGAAAAUGUACCUUAACGUUGGUGGCACCCGCAAUAAAAAAAAAAAAAACAGAAGAAGAAGAUGGCGGCAUGCUGAAGAGUAUGUGAAAGGAGUGAGACUGUCUACUUAAUAAUGGAUGUGUUGGCUGUGAUGAAUGCAGUCCGAAGAAAGGUUUUAUCCAUUAAAAGAAAUGAUCUUCGAGGGAACUGCAAUGCUAAUGAUUCACGAGUCAUUGACUCACUGCUUAAUAAUGUCCAAAGAAUCAGCCACAAUGAACCUGAUCAAUACAAUUGACAGUCUAGUGGCAUUACAGGCAGCCAUUACGUCCAGACAUCAACAAGCUGUCUCUAUCUCAGCACCAGUCAUACGAACAGGUUCAAGGGGUAGACCCAGCUUGAACGUGACAAGGGAACAAUUGGGGCUGUUGUUAAAGCAUGGUUUUAAAGCCAAGGCCAUGGCAAGGAUGCUCGGAUGCUCAACCUCGUACAUGUACCACAAACUGCAGGCUCUAGGAAUACGAAUGAGGGAUCAAUUUACACAGAUUGCUUUUCUAGAGCAACAUGUACAAAGGCUUCAUCAGCAGUAUCCUAAAUCAGGUUAUAAGGUAUGUCUGGAUAUCUACAGUAUGACGUGUCAAAUUUGGUUAUUUAUUUUAAAAUACAGAGUAACUUUACGCGAUAUUCUGUAAAAUUGCAUCCAUGUUUAUAAUGUAUACCUACCUUGGACUCAUCAUUAGAGUGGCAGAUUCUUAUUCUUCUUGAUCAGAAUCAGAAUGAGCUUUAUUUGCCAGUAAUUAUUAAGUAAUUUGUUGUGGUUUUCAGGAGCUCUUGGUACAUACAUACACAUGAAAUGAGAAAAGAAAGAACAUUUUAAAAAGUAAAACUAAGAAAGUAAGUAAUAACAAUAAAUAAGUAAAUAACGUAAAUAAAAUAAAUAGU